rnacentral:lncRNA from 1 species
GAUUAAGGUGGUACCCAACACUUUCACUAAAAUUAAUUUGGCUCGUUUAAUUUUCAUAAAAUUUUGACAAAGUAUUUACUUUGACCCUUUAACAAGUAUAUAAAAAUUUCAAAAUUUUUGAACCAACCGUUUUGUCAGAAAAAUUACACUGGUUAUAUAGCAGUUUGACAAACAACAAUUUUGAUCAUUGAGAAGCUUAAUAUUCCCUUUACAACACAACGUAAUUAAAACGUUUAGCUGAUUUUACAAAGUUAUCUCCCUGUAGUGUUAGGUACCACCUUAACAUCGUUGUGUUCAAAUACUACAUGUAGUUAGUAGGUAGGUAACCUUCACUAAUUAGUUGAUGUUUUAUAUUAUAUUUUAUCUCCGUUUAAUUAUAUUGAUAAAGAAAGGGAUUCGUAAACAACGGAACAUCUCCAUUCAUACACCGGC